rnacentral:ncRNA from 1 species
UGAGUAACUGUCUUGAUCAUCUACCCGGCGAAAUUGAGAUGGCUGUGAAGACGCGGCCUAGUUGUCCUUGGACAAAAAGACCCCGGGAGCUUUACUGUAUCUUGGCAUUUGAAAGUAUAUUUUGACUGUUUAGAAUAAGAGGGAGCGAUUUAUCGCGAAAUAUGAAAUACCUCUCUUUGAGAUAUGCAAUCAUUACCUUAUUGCCGCACAAAAAUCCGGCUAAGGAACAGUGUCUGGUGGGCAGUUUAACUGGGGAGGUUGACUCCUAAAUCGUAACGGAGUUGUACAAAGGUUGGCUAACUACGGAUGGAAAUCGUAGUGAUAGUGCAAAGGCAUAAGCCAGCUUAACUGCGAGACCUACAAGUCGAGCAGAGACGAAAGUCGGUCUUAGUGAUCCUCCGAUUGGGUAGUGGUACCCACGGAGCUUAACGGAUAAAAGCUACCCCGGGGAUAACAGGCUGAUCGCAUCCAAGCGUUCAUAGCGACGAUGCGGUUUGGCACCUUAAUAAACAUUGGGGCGCCUAUGUGGUAACACAUAAGCCUGGUUAUUCAUAAACGCGGUUAGAGAACGCGUGCUAAUAAUAAAUUUACUAGUUAAUAUCGGUGGACCCCUUCGACUCGAACAGUCGCUCAGGGCAAUACCGAGGGAAUCCUUCGACGCAAAAUUAAUUUUUUGCUCAGGACCCGUAUCGACUUGUGUUUGGUUUCAAACGAACACAGAUGGGAUGCUCUAUCCGCCAGUUGGCGGAUAAAUUUAUAGCUACCAUAAUUAGACUAGCUCCUUUGAAAUGAUGCAAAGGAUGAAGGUAUAGUCAAGUCUUGUGGUAACACAAGAAUGCGUUCGCCGAUUGGCGAAUCGCGAUGUCGGCUCAUCGCAUCCUGGGGGUGGAGAAGCUCCCAAGGGUUGGGCUGUUCGCCCAUUAAAGCGGUACGCGAGCUGGGUUCAGAACGUCGUAAGACAGUUCGGUCUCUAUCCAGGACAACCGUUGAUAUUUGAGGAGAGCCGUCCCUAGUACGAGAGGACUGGGAUGGGGGAAUCCCUGGUGUGCCAGUUGUCCCCACCCUUUCUUGUGGCUUUGCAAAUUAAGCAGAGUCUCAAGCUUUAAUGUUUGGUUAAAUCACCCAACUUUGAGUUUGAAGAAAGAGUGGGGGCAGCGCUGGGUAGCUAGAUUCCCAACUGAUAACCGCUGAAAGCAUCUAAGUGGGAAGCAGACUCCAAGAUUAGAUAUCGUUCCGUCGUAAGACGGAUGAGAUCCCUUCUAGACCAGGAGGUUGAUAGGCGGGCGGUGUAAGAUACGCAAGUAUUUUAGCCUACCCGUACUAAUGAUCGAUAAAGUAGUUUUU